rnacentral:tRNA from 1 species
GGGUGGUUGGCAGAUCGGUUUAUGCAUCCGACUUUUAAUCGGAUCGAGAGAGGUUCAACUCCUCUACCACCCU